CUUUUGACCGCGAGCCCGCUGCUUCUGACGGCUCAACGACACGGAACUGUUGGACCUAUUCAAAUGAGCCCCACGUGUCUCCAGGAUCGUGUUACACCUCACAGAUGAAGUGGAGUGCUGUUGCUUAAAGACAUGGAGAUGUCCCCAUUAUGGCCUCAGAAGUGUGUGUCACAGUACGGUGGCCUGCAGAGAACACUUCAGAAUCCUCCUUACUCUAC